rnacentral:rRNA from 1 species
GUGGGGAAUAUUGGACAAUGGGCGAAAGCCUGAUCCAGCCAUGCCGCGUGUGUGAAGAAGGUCUUCGGAUUGUGAAGCACUUUAAGUUGGGAGGAAGGGCAGUACGUUAAUACCUUGCUGUUUUGACGUUACCGACAGAAUAAGCACCGGCUAACUUCGUGCCAGCAGCCGCGGUAAUACGAAGGGUGCAAGCGUUAAUCGGAAUUACUGGGCGUAUAGCGCGCGUAGGUGGUUUUGUAAGUUGGAGGUGAAAUCCCCGGGCUCAACCUGGGAACUGCCUCCAAGAGUGCAUGACUAGAGUGCGGUAGAGGGUAGUGGAAUUUCCUGUGUAGCGGUGAAAUGCGUAGAUAUAGGAAGGAACACCAGUGGCGAAGGCGACUACCUGGACUGAUACUGACACUGAGGUGCGAAAGCGUGGGGAGCAAACAGGAUUAGAUACCCGGGUAGUCC